rnacentral:rRNA from 1 species
UACCAGCACCCCGAGUGGUCGGGACGUUUAUUGGGCCUAAAGCAUCCGUAGCCGGUUCUACAAGUCUUCCGUUAAAUCCACCUGCUUAACAGAUGGGCUGCGGAAGAUACUAUGGAGCUAGGAGGCGGGGGAGGCAAGCGGUACUCGAUGGUUAGGGGUAAAAUCCGUUGAUCCAUUGAAGACCACCAGUGGCGAAGGCGGCUUGCCAGAACGCGCUCGACGGUGAGGGAUGAAAGCUGGGGGAGCAAACCGG